rnacentral:rRNA from 1 species
UACAGAGGUCUCGAGCGUUGUUCGGAUUCAUUGGGCGUAAAGGGUGCGUAGGCGGCGUGGUAAGUCUGGUGUGAAAUCCUGGAGCUUAACUCCAGAAAUGCACUGGAUACUGCCAUGCUAGAGGACUGGAGAGGAGAUUGGAAUUCACGGUGUAGCAGUGAAAUGCGUAGAUAUCGUGAGGAAGACCAGUGGCGAAGGCGAGUCUCUGGACAGUUACUGACGCUGAGGCACGAAGGCCAAGGGGAGCAAACGGG